CACUUCUGCACCCACCGCAGUCACGCCUCUAGGCGCGUCCUGGUUGUACGUCUCUAAUUUGCGAUGCGCAUUCCGUUCAACACUCACCUCCGACCUCAACAGAUGAAACUGCAGACAGAAUCAAUGGCACGGAAUCCGACCCAACGACGCAACAGCAGGAGAACCGGACACCUAUUGAAAACAUCACGUACUAAACCAGGACGAAGUCCAGUGUGUCCUCUGGCAACACGAGACAGUCACCAAAAACAGCCCAGAGAAAAUUCCGGGCGGCUUACCAUAACAGCUACCGGAUGUUAAAAAUAUGAAGAUGUAAACGCGAGGUUUAAGACACAGAACGCGUCUGUGGUACCCUGCAACCUGCAGGCCUAGACCUAGUGCCGCCUCGUACCAAUACCCCUCUUGCUAUGUUACAGUUAUUUAUCAUGCCAUUCUGGACUUAAUUUUCUAACAAGAUGGUGGCGAUUUGGAUACAACAUUUCCGGGAAGGUGAACUGGGCGUCGUGGUCUCAUCAGCUGACCUCCGCGGUCACUGAACGUAACAUCACUGGAUUUAUUCCUUUGGGAUUAUGUCAAGGACCAGGUUUACCAAACACGAGUGAACCGCAUCACAGACUUACGGCGCAGUAUUACAGACAUCAAAACAUUCAUCCCUCACGAGAUGUUGGAGCUGGAAUGUCGUCUGGAUAUCCUUCUGGCAACGAAAGGAGCACGCGUCAAAAUUUCUUAACUGUAUGUGCACACGAAAAUUAGAACAUGUUAUCUGCACUUCAAAAUAAAAUAUAUGUGUCUA